rnacentral:rRNA from 1 species
UACGGGGGGGGCAAGCGUUGUUCGGAAUUACUGGGCGUAAAGGGCUCGUAGGCGGCCAACUAAGUCCGACGUGAAAUCCCCAGGCUCAACCUGGGAACUGCGUCGGAUACUGGAUGGCUUGAAUCCGGGAGAGGGAUGCAGAAUUCCAGGUGUAGCGGUGAAAUGCGUAGAUAUCUGGAGGAAUACCGGUGGCGAAGGCGGCAUCCUGGACCGGCAUUGACGCUGAUGAGCGAAAGCUAGGGGAGCAAACGGG